GUGGAGUGCUGAAUGAGCCCUGUGGUUUUCUUCAAGCACAGAACCGGAGAGCGGCAACAGCAGCAGCACGUUGUGUCUUUAAUGAUGUUUUCAGUGGCUAACCGUGUUAAAAGGAGGAUCCAGGCAGUAGAGAUGGGUUAUGGGAGGCCUUGAGCGGGAACAGCAGGAGACCAGGAGGCCCCGGCCGAUCCAUCAGAGCCAGCCGGCUGCCUAAUUUAGGGAUUGAGAUUCAAGUCAAGGCUGGUCGAGUCCAAGCAAAAGCAGUUCUGGCGAACGCUGAAGUUUCCACCCUGAGAUUUGAUCAGCGGGAUUUCGCAGAGGAACCGAACCAUAUUCCAGUCACCGUGAUAGAUUGAUGGAGUAAAAACGAGGUGGCCAAGACGUCUCCAUUCUCGAACCAAAUGAAAUAAAAACAGCUAUUUGCGUUUUCGGCCAAACCCGAAGUGUACCACGCUGCGUGUCGAUCAUCCAGAGCGUCGUCCUCGUUGCUUUACGUCUCUCUCCCGUGCUUAACCCCCGAACAGGAACUUGUAAUGGUUUUAUGGGGUUCAGCAGCUGUUUACGGGCUGCGCCUGCCAGAGUCCAUAAAUUUUUAUGACAUGUCAGAAUCUUCCAGCCAUGUUCCUCGCAGCAGAGGAAGAGUUAUCGCCGGGCCGGCAGCGGCAGGGAGGCCCGAGCGCCGUGACACCUGUUAUCAAUCUGCAGCGUGGCACUGCUGCUUUCGCUUCGGCGGUGCGAACAAAUCAAGACGUUAUUGCUUUUGCUGUUUUGUUUUAUCGGAGCUGCCAACGGUCGUGUCACCCACGUCAGACCUCACAACGCUACAAUCCAAACAACACAGAGAUUUUUCUCAUCUGAUCAGUCCAAGGAUUUGGGAUGAGGAACCGCAGGCGUCCUGGCUGCAACUGAUUUUGGUAUUUUAUUUUCACACAAAAGCCUGUUUUGAGAAAAAAAAAUGAAAGAAAAAGAA